CCCCGAACAACAGCCGCCACCGCCUUCUCAAAGCGGGUCCAUUGAUGCGGCCAAAGCCGAGACGUGCAAUUUCCUAAACGCUAUCUUUCUGUUCUUGUUCAGGGAACUCCGAGACACCCCAGUCGUCAGACACUGGCUCACUAAGAAUAUUAAAGUGGAAUUUUCAGGAGCUCCUGCACCGGGUCUCCGCGCGCAUACCGAUGUUGACACUUGUGUUAGUAAACACUGCAAGCCGUCUAUAUUAGCAGCAUGCAGUGCUGAUUGUUUCUGUUCUAAAUUUAGAUACGGUUCUUAGCGAUCUCGUGAAUGUGUUUCAUGUUUUUGGAUGUUUUUUGAUUGAUUGCCAUGUGAAAAUCCGUAUUUUGAUUAAUAAAACCGUAACCCGGAGUGGGAUCAUGAAAACCGUAAUCAUUAUGGCAAAACCGGAGUAGUUGGCAGGUAUGUAUAGAAAAUGGAUGGAUGGAGAUACUAUUACUUUUUCUGUGUUAUGUAGAUGCAUCACUCUACAUUUCAAUUGAGUGAAGGGCAUGACGUGCAGCGCUAUACAACUUGCUGCAAGCUCGACUAUGUGCUGGAUACUGAGGGGCCAGAGACAGAGCUAAUUUUGAAAACAGGGAAGAGUUGCCUGACACGUGGUGACUUCAGGACCCUUGGCUUGACUCUGGAGAUGGAAUCAACUAUAGGAAAUGCAUGUUUUCAGCUCAUUGAAAAAAUUGCUCAAUCAAAGGGGAAGUGCAUUUUUGUGGCCGAUUUGUAGGUUGUACCGACAUGGCGACAGUCAACGGCAUGCAACCCGCUCUCAAGUUUACCUGUAAGUAUAGCUACUGGAUUUAAUGAAGAAUGUAUUUUAGGUCUGUUUGUUUUUUUGUAUCUUUUCAUCUUUUCUAUGUUAUUAGAGAGAUCUUCACAUUAGGGACUCCAUUGUUAUCCCUGUGUGGAAAAGCGGACAUUUCCUGUUGUCUGUAAGCACUAUUGUUACUGUUAUACUCACACACUCACAUUCUUAUGGUGGAGGCAGCCAUGUGAGGGUGUGGUUAAGGGUUUUUGUUCAAGAAGCCAGGAAGAGUUUGUGAUUGAAUUUUCUGGUUCCAGAACACCCAUUGUACCUCCUGAAUCACUGUAAACACUCUUGUUUUUUAUCAUGCUUGCUUUUUUACUGUCACAAGGCUCAUUGUAAACAGAAAAUUGUUAAAAUGUGUGUGUGUUUCAUUAGUGUUGUGCUGUUGUGUUUCUGUGUUGUAUUAACCUCUCCCACUAUGAUGAAUUGAAAUGUCAUUAACCACAAUAGGUGUUGAAGCCAACACAAAGACAGAUACUCUUUCGGGAUUCCAAAUGUGCACAUGCACAAUUUGGAUUUGGUGAUCAGGAAAUGAGAGAUCUGCUGAGGUCACCAACAAAAACUUUGGUUUCAUUUUGGUUCUCAUCGGUGUUCAUGUUCCGAUGCUGUUCUGAAAAUGUUUGUUGUAGGGCUGAGCAGUAUGGACAAAAUAAAAUCCCAUCAUUACAGUAUCAAAAAUUCCACAAUGUCAUUCAUGACUAUUGAUAUAUUGCCCAGCUCUACAUUGUUUUU